rnacentral:lncRNA from 1 species
CAACUUAACGGGUGGGACACCGACUCAUCGUUUCCGUCAGUGCCAACGACAUUGCAAUCAGCGGACCGUCGAGCGUGCGUUUCAUUCAUCGGCUCCGGGUUGCAGUAGAACGGGGUGCAGCGCACCAAACUGCACAAACCGCACGGAAGGUGGCAAAACUUUUUACGUGGUGCCAUGCGGACGGCCAGACGUGCACCGGCGACAGGUAUGGCUACUGCGUAUGGGCCGAGACUGGCCGGCUCCGAAAGGGACCGGGAUAUAUGCGAGACAUAAGAAGAC